rnacentral:rRNA from 1 species
CAGUAGCCACGGUAAUACGAAGGGUGCAAGCGUUACUCGGAAUUACUGGGCGUAAAGCGUGCGUAGGUGGUGGUUUAAGUCCGUUGUGAAAGCCCUGGGCUCAACCUGGGAAUUGCAGUGGAUACUGGGUCACUAGAGUGUGGUAGAGGAUAGUGGAAUUUCCGGUGUAGCAGUGAAAUGCGUAGAGAUCGGAAGGAACAUCUGUGGCGAAGGCGACUAUCUGGGCCAACACUGACACUGAGGCACGAAAGCGUGGGGAGCAAACAGGAUUAGAGACCCCGGUAGUCCCUGUCUCUUAUAA